UGGCUGCCUCCUCCAAUCACUGAGAAACUGACAGCAUCUGUGAAAAGCGCUAAGGAGAGAGGAAAGUGCCUGAGGCAGGGAGUUAAGACCUCACCAACCUGGAGUCUGGGAGGGCUUCCAGGAGGAAGAGGCAUUGAAACCCCAAGUGUGCUGCAGUAAUCAGGGGGUUGGGGGCUGCGGGAGGCAACUACAGGGCAGAGCUGGGCUGGAGGCGAGUCGGGCACAGACCAGCAUCCUGGCCUCAAAGGCUGCACUUAGUAGGUGCAGCAGAGCUGCUUACAGAGCAGGACCUGAGGCUCUGGGCGAGGGCGCCAGCAGGAGACGCAGAAUGAGCCGGCGUGCCCUCUGCACCUCCCUUGGUGAACCCCACUCCAGCCGGGCCCUCUGUUGGACUGGUAUGACUCAGCACAAACCCCAAUCCCUGCCCGGGCCUGCUUUUACCCCUGCUUCUCUGUUUCUGAGGAGCUCGAGGCUUGGCCCUUUGACCCCUGCAGGACAUGCAGGAGAGCAGGUCCCAUAGCACGAGGCCAGAGCGCGGGGCACACAGUGGGGCAGGCCUGGGAGAGGAGCCCCCAGGCUGAAUCCCUGCCUGCCUGGGAGCACCCUGUCCACGUGGGGAGUGGUGCUGGGGCUUUUCCGGCAGAGUUGGGGACCCCCUUCACCACUUCGUCAGUGGGAGAGGGGCUGUUUCUGAUCAUCCCUGAUCACACGAUUCUCUAAGGAUCACCUGGUUGGUGUGCUGACCAUCCUCCUCAGCCACUACC